CCUACGGGAGGCAGCAGUAAGGAAUAUUGGACAAUGCUCGCAAGAGUGAUCCAGCCAUGCCGCGUGCAGGAAGAAUGCCCUAUGGGUAGUAAACUGCUUUUGAACUAGAGAAAACCCUACUACGAGUAGUAGGCUGAUAGUAUAGUUAGAAUAAGCAUCGGCUAACUUCGUGCCAGCAGCCGCGGUAAGACGAAGGAUGCAAGCGUUAUCCGGAUUCAUUGGGUUUAAAGGGAGCGUAGGUGGACAUAUAAGUCAGUGGUGAAAUCUCCGAGCUUAACUCGGAAAUUGCCAUUGAUACUGUUUGUCUUGAUUACAGUUGCUGUGGGCGGAAUAUGACAUGUAGUGGUGAAAUACAUAGAGAUGUCAUAGAACACCGAUUGCGAAGGCAGCUCACAAAGCUGUAACUGACACUGAGGCUCGAAAGUGCGGGGAUCAAACAGGAUUAGAUACCCUGGUAGUCCGCACUGUAAACGAUGAUUACUCGCUGCUAGAAGGCAACUUUUAGUGGCUUAGCGAAAGACGAGUAAGUAAGUACCGACCGUAGGGUAGGUACGGCCGGCCGACGGUACGUAAACGUUAAACGUUAGUUAAGUUAGACGGACGGUUAGGAGGACGNGCGACGGACGACGACGAGGGAGGAGGG
rnacentral:rRNA from 1 species